GUUAAUACUGGAUCACAAAAUCUUAAAAGAUAAUAAAGACAAAGUACAGAUUCAUCAGUUCUUAAUAGACCAUUUUCGGUCUUCGCUAUUAUAUCUUGUUAUAUGUAUACAUGGGUUUCAAACAUAUACAUGGUUGCAUAUGUUUAAUUUAUUCAAGCAUCCAUGAAACAGUAAGACUGGUGUCGGACUAGUAAGUUUUGAAAAAGCCAAAAGACAACGGCUUAUUGCUGAGUGCCAAACGUCGCCAACCAUCUUUGUCUUCAACGAUUCCAACAUCGCUGCACGUAACAUUACAGUAGCUGCAGACACUCGGGCAGUAAACAAACUUAUAACCGUCAUUCGUUUUCUCAAUCUUAAACCAGUUAUCCAAUGUUUCUGGUCCUGGAUUUCCUUCAACACCUCCCGCCAUCACAGCAUAUUGCUUCAUACCUUUAUCAUAUUUCAACCUCAAUAUGUUUGACUCGUCACAAGUUUGGAGCCUGAGAACUGUAUGUUAACGUCUGUGGAAAGACGGAUAACGCCUUUCUUGGGGUUGACGGGAGUGAAAGUCAUCGGUACGCCAGCCUCCUCGUUAUAGGAUAGUACAACUCCAGGUUUACAAGACUUUUUGCCUAAGUCCCUCACAUAGAGUCCGCCAUUUACAAGGUUAUCUACUGGAAUUAUUAUGUAUCCGGCCCCUGUGCGGAGGGGCUUUCCACUCAAAUCGAGCACGGGAGCAGGAGCAGGGGCUGAAUAGGCUGUGAAGAUGAAUGCAAGUGAGAAUAAAAUGAUUGUU
rnacentral:lncRNA from 1 species